rnacentral:lncRNA from 10 species
CUGGGCUGCGGAGACCAGAGCCCGGCUCCACUGAAGAAACCCGCCGGCUGCUGGGGCAGGGCGGCGAAAGGUCAGUCGGCCGAGAGGAGUCCGUGGAGCCACCGUUUCAUAGCCUCAGGGAAAGGAUCGGGCGUGCUCACGAGCCCUCUAACCCAUGGCUUAAACACCCGCUUCCUAAGCCUGGUUCCUGAAUAUAUCACAUGUGGUGAUAAACAUGAAGAUGUAUGAAAAAUUGUGUUCGUUGAGAGAAAAUGGAAGGCUUUUCAUUCUACUUCCACAUUUUCAUUCCAGCAGCUUUUCUGUUUUGGAAGAUGAGUACUGAAUCUUGCAAUGAAAUUUUUUUAACUUAAACAAGACAAGGAAAAUGAAGCGCAGAGACGUUAAAUAACUCUCUCAAGGUCAUGCAGCUGAGAAGAGAUGAGACUUGAACUCCAGUGCCAGCCCUGUUAAUCACUAUUCUGUACUGUCUUUCAGAUGGAAUGAUAGGGUAUGCAUAAAUGUUCAUGUGGGCUCUGGAGUAUACCAGGAACUGAAGUAAGGUACAUGGACGUCUUGAAUAUUGUAACUGAGAUGGGCAAGCCUACACCUUUGCAAAUAAAGGAGGAUUGGGAAAGAUUAAGAUCCUGUUAAACGUCAGUGUUACUAUUUAGCCUUUGAUAUCUCCAGUAAAGGCAACUUCUUUCUGGACCCAGAAAUAAAGCUUUACAUUAGCAGCUUCCAUAACACCAAUAACAUGAAUGACCAUCUACUGAGCAAUUGCAGUGCACCAGGAUUAUGGCUUAUGAGCACUUUAU